rnacentral:rRNA from 1 species
AGAGUUGAUAUGGCUCAGGAUGAACGCUAGCGACAGGCUAACACAUGCAAGUCGAGGGCGAGCAUAAAAGUAGCAAUACUUGGUGGCGACCGGCGCACGGGUGAGUAACGCGUAUGCAACCUACCUAUCAGAGGGGAAUAACCCGGCGAAAGUCGGACUAAUACCGCAUAAAACAGGGGCACCGCAUGGUGAUAUUUGUUAAAGAAAUUCGCUGAUAGAUGGGCAUGCGUUCCAUUAGGUAGUUGGUGAGGUAACGGCUCACCAAGCCGACGAUGGAUAGGGAACUGAGAGGUUGGUCCCCCACACUGGUACUGAGACACGGACCAGACUCCUACGGGAGGCAGCAGUGAGGAAUAUUGGUCAAUGGGCGGGAGCCUGAACCAGCCAAGUCGCGUGAAGGAAGAAGGAUCUAUGGUUCGUAAACUUCUUUUGCAGGGGAAUAAAGUGCAGGACGUGUCCUGUUUUGUAUGUACCCUGAGAAUAAGGAUCGGCUAACUCCGUGCCAGCCGCCGC